GGAGAGGUAGCGAAGUCCGGUCAUAACGCGCCCGACUCGAAAUCGGGUUGGCGGUUCGCCCCGCCACGUGGGUUCGAAUCCCACCCUCUCCGCCA
rnacentral:tRNA from 1 species